GCCGGAAUAGCUCAGUUGGUCGAGCACSGGWUUGAAAAUCCUCGU
rnacentral:tRNA from 1 species